rnacentral:rRNA from 1 species
AUUGAACGCUGGCGGCAUGCCUAACACAUGCAAGUCGAACGGGGUGUAGCAAUACAUCUAGUGGCGGACGGGUGAGGAAUACAUAGGAAUUUGCCCUUAAGUGGGGGAUAGUCCGGGGAAACUCAGUUUAAUACCGCAUGAUCUCGUGAGAGCAAAGCAGGGGACCGCAAGGCCUUGCGCUUUUGGAGAAGCCUAUGUCGGAUUAGCUAGUUGGUAGGGUAAUGGCCACCAAGGCAACGAUCCGUAACUGGUCUGAGAGGAUGAUCAGUCACACCGGAACUGAGACACGGUCCGGACUCCUACGGGAGGCAGCAGUGGGGAAUAUUGGACAAUGGGCGCAAGCCUGAUCCAGCAAUGCCGCGUGUGUGAAGAAGGCC